rnacentral:lncRNA from 1 species
GCUGAGGUGGAAACCCGACAGGAACAGCCUGUUCCCACCCACUAACUAAUUUCACAGGUCGCUUAACAACUUGGAGCAUUUUCGCAGCUGAACGAGAUGCUUUCUCAGGUUCAAGAUGGAUUACCCAAAUCAACCUGCCAAACUGCUCUUCCUUCACAAAGGAUAAAACGACAAGUUCAAUUGUUCAAAUACAAACAUGCAGAAAGGCACCAUUUUCUCUCUCGAUCUGUGCAGUUGCCGUUGGAUGGAAUCAGUUUGCACAGAUCAUUGUUUUGAGUACUGACAGCGACGUGAUCACAUGCAGGCUAGAGGAUUGAGACACUUGACCAGAAUAAAGAUGGCCACUGCCAGCGGGGAGAUAUAGAUGGGGAUGAUUACAUACAUCCAAGAGUCAGAGAUGAGAACGAAUGCAACAUGUAAAAUCAUCGAGCAAGUAAAUGCAAUGUACAAGAUGAGGUAAUGACUAAAAUCUGAAAUGUCACUCGGUCUGUGAUCUACAAUAGUUUCCUGAGUUCAUAUAUCAAUCAUCGUGGAAGUAAUGAAUCAACAACUCAGACGGUAAGCACACACCCAAACACGAUGAGGUAAUGACUAAAAUCUGAAAUGUCACUCGGUCUGUGAUCUACAAUAGUUUCCUGAGUUCAUAUAUCAAUCAUCGUGGAAGUAAUGAAUCAACAACUCAG